rnacentral:rRNA from 1 species
UACGUAGGGGGCUAGCGUUGCUCGGAAUCACUGGGCGUAAAGCGCUCGUAGGCGGCUUGCUAAGUCAGGGGUGAAAUCCUGGAGCUCAACUCCAGAACUGCCUUUGAUACUGGCGAUCUUGAGUCCGGGAGAGGUGAGUGGAACUGCGAGUGUAGAGGUGAAAUUCGUAGAUAUUCGCAAGAACACCAGUGGCGAAGGCGGCUCACUGGCCCGGUACUGACGCUGAGGUGCGAAAGCGUGGGGAGCAAACAGG